rnacentral:rRNA from 1 species
UACGUAGGGGGCAAGCGUUGUCCGGAAUCAUUGGGCGUAAAGCGCGUGUAGGCGGCCAGAAAAGUCCGCUGUGAAAACUCGAGGCUCAACUUCGAGCUGUCGGUGGAAACUUUCUGGCUAGAGUCCGGAAGAGGAGAAUGGAAUUCCUGGUGUAGCGGUGAAAUGCGCAGAUAUCAGGAAGAACACCCGUGGCGAAGGCGGUUCUCUGGGCCUGACCUGACGCUGAGGAGCGAAAGCGUGGGGAGCGAACAGG